rnacentral:rRNA from 1 species
GACGAACGCUGGCGGCGUGCUUAACACAUGCAAGUCGAGCGGUAAGGCCCUUUCGGGGGUACGACGAGCGGCGAACGGGUGAGUAACACGUGGGUGACCUGCCCUCAGCUCUGGGAGUAAGCCUGGGAAACCGGGUCUAAUACUGGAUAUGACUCCAUGACGCAUGUUGGUGGGGUGGAAAGCCUUGUGCGGCUGAGGAUGGGCCCGCGGCCUAUCAGCUUGUUGGUGGGGUG